CCCUUAGAUGUUCUGGGCCGCACGCGCGCUACACUGAUGAAUUCAACGAGCACUAACCUGUGCCGAAAGGUUCGGGUAAUCUUGUGAAAUUUCAUCGUGAUGGGGAUUGAUUAUUGCAAUUUUUAAUCAUAAACGAGGAAUGCCUAGUAAGCGUGAGUCAUCAGCUCACGUUGAUUACGUCCCUGCCCUUUGUACACACCGCCCGUCGCUCCUACCGAUUGAAUGUGCCAGUGAAAAGUUCGGAUUGGAGAUAGGAGACGGCAACGUAUCCUAUUUCCGAGAAAAUCUUUAAACUUUCCCAUUUAGAGGAAGGAGAAGUCGUAACA
rnacentral:rRNA from 1 species